rnacentral:rRNA from 1 species
UACGAAGGGGGCUAGCGUUACUCGGAUUGACUGGGCGUAAAGGGCGCGUAGGCGGAUGGUACAGUCAGACGUGAAAUUCCUGGGCUCAACCUGGGGGCUGCGUUUGAUACGUGCUGUCUGGAGUUCGGAAGAGGGUCGUGGAAUUCCCAGUGUAGAGGUGAAAUUCGUAGAUAUUGGGAAGAACACCGGUGGCGAAGGCGGCGACCUGGUCCGAUACUGACGCUGAGGAGCGAAAGCGUGGGGAGCGAACAGG